rnacentral:rRNA from 1 species
AAUAGAUACCCAGGUAGUCCUAGCCGUAAACGAUACUCGCUAGGUGUCGGCCACGGUGCGACCGUUGUCGGUGCCGUAGGGAAGCCGUGAAGCGAGCCACCUGGGAAGUACGGCCGCAAGGCUGAAACUUAAAGGAAUUGGCGGGGGAGCACCACAACGGGUGGAGCUUGCGGUUUAAUUGGAUUCAACGCCGGAAAUCUUACCGGGACCGACAGCAAUAUGAAGGCCAGGCUGAAGACUUUGCCGGAUUAGCUGAGAGGUGGUGCAUGGCCGUCGUCAGUUCGUACUGUGAAGCAUCCUGUUAAGUCAGGCAACGAGCGAGACCCACGCCCACAGUUGCCAGCGUACUCUCCGGAGUGACGGGUACACUGUGGGGACCGCCGCUGCUAAAGCGGAGGAAGGAAUGGGCAACGGUAGGUCAGUAUGCCCCGAAUAUCCCGGGCUACACGCGAGCUACAAUGGUUGGUACAAUGGGUAUCUACCCCGAAAGGGGAUGGAAAUCUCCUAAAGCCAAUCUUAGUUCGGAUUGAGGCUGCAACUCGCCCUCA